UCAGCGGGAAACAUCUGUGCAGAGUCUCUGACAGUGAGAUUAAUCAUAAUGAUGAUGAUGUUGCUGACUCCACUGCUGACCACAAUCAUGCUCAGACUUCAAGGAUCAGAUGCCAGUUCAUCUGUGACUCAGUCUCCUGUGUUUAAGGCUGCUGCUUUGGGGCAGACGGUCUCUCUGAGCUGUACAGUCAGUAAAGGAGUUGAUGAUGAUCUCAGCUGGUAUCUACAGAAACCUGGACAGCCUCCCAAACUGCUGUUUUACCAAAUCAGCAGCCGUGAAUCUGAUACUCCGAGUCAUUUCAGUAGCAGUGGAUCUGAGCCUGAGUUCACUCUGACAAUCAAUGGAGUUCAGGCUGCAGAUGCAGGAGAUUACUACUGUAUGGGAGUGUAUGGUGGCCCAGUGUUCACACACUGAUACAGAGUCGUACAAUAACCUCCCUCAGUUACUGUUUGCAGUGUUGCAGCUGUGAGCUUCUGAUACAGACUCUGACAUGCAUCACUGGUUCACUGAGUCCACUUUUCACUAAUAGGUCACAUUAUUAAGAAGAUGAUGUGACACUGUUUAGAAUUUGUAGCAUACUAUGCUUAUCUCACUACAUUUUGUAUUACUUCUAAUUUGCUGUGUAUAAUAAGUUAAUAUAAAAAUCAUUUUGUUUGUACAGUUCAUAUUAAAUCACAAAGUUAUAAGGUGUGUUAUAUUUUAAAUAAAAUCAAGUUAUAUGAAAUAAGUUUUCAUAUCACGAUAUACCACACAUAAAUACAUAUUUGGUGGUGACAACAAAGUGACAACAAAGGCCAAAAAUAAAAAGCCAAAUGAUCAGGAUAACUUAAACAAAAAGAAAAUGCAGAAAAAUUUAUUUGUUACAGCCUCAAAAGACUUAAAACAGAAAAGGAUCAGAUGAUUGGAGAAACUGACUGCAAUAACAAGCUGGUAGCAGUGCGGCCUGACAAUGAAAGGCUUUAAAUUUGAUUAAUAACAUUUUAAAAUGAAUUCUACAAUUUGCUGGAAGCCCACAAAGGGAGGCAAAAAAAGAUAUGGUCUUCUGGACUAACUGAAGACUUGGAUGGAGAGGACUGUGUACAUGAAAGUGAGUUACAGUAUAGAGAAGAGAACUAAAAUGUGCAUUAUGCUCUAAAUU